UACGUAGGGGGCAAGCGUUGUCCGGAAUCAUUGGGCGUAAAGCGCGUGUAGGCGGCCUUGUAAGUCCGUUCUGAAAGCCCGGGGCUCAACCCCGGGAGGCGGAUGGAUACUGCAAGGCUCGAGUACGGAAGAGGCGAGUGGAAUUCCCGGUGUAGCGGUGAAAUGCGCAGAUAUCGGGAGGAACACCAAUGGCGAAGGCAGCUCGCUGGGACGUUACUGACGCUGAGACGCGAAAGCGUGGGGAGCAAACAGGG
rnacentral:rRNA from 1 species